CCGGCGGUAGCUCAAUGGGAGAGCACGGGCUGAAUACCCGUAUGAUCUAGGUUCGAAUCCUAGCCGCCGGA
rnacentral:tRNA from 1 species